UACGAGGGGGGCGAGCGUUGUUCGGAAUUAUUGGGCGUAAAGAGCGUGUAGGCGGCCAGAUAAGUCCGCUGUGAAAUCUCGAGGCUCAACUUCGAGCUGUCGGUGGAAACUAUCUGGCUAGAGUCCGGAAGAGGAGAAUGGAAUUCCUGGUGUAGCGGUGAAAUGCGCAGAUAUCAGGAAGAACACCCGUGGCGAAGGCGGUUCUCUGGGACGGUACUGACGCUGAGACGCGAAAGCGUGGGGAGCGAACAGG
rnacentral:rRNA from 1 species